rnacentral:tRNA from 1 species
UGGUCUUGUAAACCAAAAGACGAAGACACUACAACUUCUUAGAGUU